rnacentral:rRNA from 1 species
UACAGAGGGGGCAAGCGUUGUUCGGAAUUACUGGGCGUAAAGGGCGCGUAGGCGGCCAACUAAGUCGGACGUGAAAUCCCCAGGCUCAACCUGGGAACUGCGUCCGAUACUGGAUGGCUCGAAUCCGGGAGAGGGAUGUGGAAUUCCAGGUGUAGCGGUGAAAUGCGUAGAUAUCGGGAGGAACACCAGUAGCGAAGGCGGUUCUCUGGGCCGGUACUGACGCUGAGGAGCGAAAGCGUGGGGAGCAAACAGG